rnacentral:tRNA from 1 species
GAGGGUAUAGCUCAGUGGUAGAGUGUGCGCCUAACAUGCACAAGGUCCUGGGUUCAAUCCCCUGUACUGACA